ACCUAACUAGUUUAAAUAAAACAUUGAUUUUGUAAGUCAAAGAAGAAUAAAUUUAUUUUUAGGUU
rnacentral:tRNA from 1 species